rnacentral:tRNA from 1 species
CCUUCGAUAGCUCAGUUGGUAGAGCGGUGGACUGUAGUUGCUACCUCCCAAGGUCAAAUAGUAAUCCAUAGGUCGCUGGUUCAAAUCCGGCUCGAAGGA